rnacentral:rRNA from 1 species
AUACGGAGGGUGCAAGCGUUAUCCGGAUUUAUUGGGUUUAAAGGGUCCGUAGGCGGACUAGUAAGUCAGUGGUGAAAGCCUUCAGCUUAACUGGAGAACUGCCAUUGAUACUGCUAGUCUUGAGUUCGGUUGAAGUGGGCGGAAUAUGUGGUGUAGCGGUGAAAUGCAUAGAUAUCACAUAGAACACCUAUUGCGAAGGCAGCUCACUAAGCCGAUACUGACGCUCAGGGACGAAAGCGUGGGGAGCGAACAGGAUUAGAAACCCUAGUAGUCC